ACCAUCCUCCAAGGCUAAAUACUACUGACUGACCGAUAGUGAACCAGUACCGUGAGGGAAAGGCGAAAAGAACCCCUGUGAGGGGAGUGAAAUAGAACCUGAAACCGUGUACGUACAAGCAGUAGGAGCAGGCUUUGUCCUGUGACUGCGUACCUUUUGUAUAAUGGGUCAGCGACUUAUAUUCAGUGGCAAGGUUAACCAUCUAGGGGAGCCGUAGGGAAACCGAGUCUUAACUGGGCGUUCAGUCUCUGGAUAUAGACCCGAAACCAGGUGAUCUAGCCAUGGGCAGGUUGAAGGUUGAGUAACAUCAACUGGAGGACCGAACCGACUAAUGUUGAAAAAUUAGCGGAUGACUUGUGGCUAGGGGUGAAAGGCCAAUCAAACCUGGAGAUAGCUGGUUCUCCCCGAAAGCUAUUUAGGUAGCGCCUCGGACGAAUACUACUGGGGGUAGAGCACUGUUAAGGCUAGGGGGUCAUCCCGACUUACCAACCCUUUGCAAACUCCGAAUACCAGUAAGUACUAUCCGGGAGACACACGGCGGGUGCUAACGUCCGUCGUGGAGAGGGAAACAACCCAGACCGCCAGCUAAGGUCCCAAAUUACUACUAAGUGGGAAACGAUGUGGGAAGGCUCAGACAGCCAGGAUGUUGGCUUAGAAGCAGCCAUCAUUUAAAGAAAGCGUAAUAGCUCACUGGUCGAGUCGGCCUGCGCGGAAGAUGUAACGGGGCUAAGUAGUAAACCG
rnacentral:rRNA from 1 species